CCGAGCGUCACUCCUUUACGUCCUGGGCGGGAGCCGCAUGGGGAGGGCCAGGAUGGGGCAUAUCUGAAUUCACGGAUGUCUUGGGUUUGAAUCUCCCCUGAAAGGCUCAGCGAGUGAGGAAGGAGAAACUCGCAGGGAGUUGGGAGGGGGCUAGGGUCUUCAUUAACUCAUUCUGUGACCUGGGACAGAGCGUGUGGUUUCCUGGGGCCUCGGCGCCCCGAUGGUGACCUGGGGUCAGUGAACUCAGUGGCUCUCAGCAAGCGCUGAGUGUCUGAGUCACUCGUGGAACACUGGAACAAAACAGAAGUCCCGAACACCCAGCGCAGGCCUGGCUCCCGCCCCUGGGAGCUCUUACGCAGCAGGUGUGGGGCGGGGCCUGGGCCUGGGGGGCUACUUCUUAAGAAGUGCACAGAUUGUUCAGACACCCGUGUCUGCUGGAGACCCGCGGGACAGAGUGACGUCUGGUUGGGCAGUGCUCUUUCCAGAGGAGGGGCAGGUAAGUGGCUUCCAAAACAUCUCCGAGGUUCAGAAAAACAACCUCCAAGAGGAUGACUCAACGCCCGAGCCCUGCAACUCUUCCCGAGUGGGGCUGAGUCACACGCGCUCCGUGCCUCCCAGAUGCGGGCGCCCGUGCCAGCUGGGUGAGGGGAGGGAUGUUUGCAGCUCGCUGGCUGGUCCGGUGCCUUCCGCGGGGUCACUGGAACCCGCGAGGGCCAGGGCAGGAAGCGCAGGCAGAGGGAUGACAGAUGGGCCGGGCUUCCAACCGGGAAGGGCGGGCGGGCUGCUCUCUGGGCUCCCUGGCACCUCAGAGGCGCUGCGCCGGCCACUGGGAUUUCACAGCCGUCCUGGGCUCUGCCCGAGUCCCGACCUUCCCAAGAAGCAGCCCAGGCCUGACCUAGCCACGCGCUUUCCGAGUGCUCCACACAAAGCUCAUCUGUUCAGAAAGUUCCUGUCUUAAACUACUGCAGCCCCAACAGCGAAUUGCCUUGGGAUGCAAGUAUUAAGCACCCAGUAGUCCCCCGCCCGACACCUUGAGCCAACGCCCGGUGCCUUCUCUCUGGGCCGUCCUGUCUGAGGAGCCAGAGCGAUGGGGAUUCUUUUCAUUCCAGCUAGAGAUCCAUCCUCUGCGGUUCUGCACACAUCAAACGCGUCCCCUCCGUCUCCCUGCCAUCCAUCACGGCGGAAUGUUCCAGUUACGGGAUCCGACGAGGAGGGUCACAUGGGACACCUGUUGGACACUCCACUUUCGUCAAAUAAUAACCGGAGAGAAAAUAAUCGAAAGAAGACAGGCGAUUCGUUACUAAUUACAGAGCAGGGCCUUCUUGGCUUCAGAUGUAGAGUUCAAGCUCAGUAUACUUGGAAACUUAAGUAGUAUUUUUGAAAGGUUCGUGUGUACGAGUCAGACACAAUUCACAUGUUCUGUCGGAUUUCAGAAUUGCGAGCUGUCAAGGAGGGGCUUCAGGAGACCAAAAAUAAUCUUACUUUGCAUCAUGGAUAGCUUCACUCUCAAAAUAAAACCUUCUUAGUCAUGAUGUCAUGUGAUUGCUAAUUAAAGCAAUAAUACCCCUAUCGUGUAAUAUUCUAAAAACGUUAUUAUUAAAACCCUAAAGGCGAGGGAACUCGC